rnacentral:lncRNA from 1 species
CCAAUCACAGCUCGUCUUUGAUUUUCUAGUGUUCAGCCAAUCUGGAGAUAAUUUUCAUUUUUCAAGUGGAUACGAACUGGUCUCGUCAUUUCUGCACGAAGAAAAUAAAGAAGAAAAACAAAAGGAACGAGAGAAGAGGAUGGACUAUGUUCCAGUAAUCUCAUAGGACGCUUUUAGAACUGGCAACCAGCCAGUCUUUAUAUGUUAGGCUAAAAUUAAACAAUACCAGGUGGAGAUUGAGACCAUACUCAAAAGAGAGAAGACAAUUUUCUUACUGCUGCACGACGGUGACUUUGGCUAAGUAAAUGAUUAACACGAAGAUCAGGAUGAUUGUCCAUGUCAACCCAAUAUGAUUUUGCAAAUUUUUCAUCGAUGAUGAAUGAGCUGUUGUAAUAUUGAUGUGUAUCCGUCUCGGUCUUCGUGAUGUUGUUUUGCUGGUAGACUCUGAAACCUCUGGAACCUUUUUGUUUUGAUCGUUGUUGACUGCUUCGCUAACAUAGCCUCCUUCAUUAAUAUCCGAUUCCUCAGUGGUGUCACCAGACAUUGAUCGUUGCUGUGAAGCACUUCCAGUUACCUAAAAAAGGAUUACUCAAGAUUAACGAACAUAGAAGGGAAAAAAUAGCUCAGGAGAUAUACUAAACGUACUGGAUUCAUUGGCUGAGAUACAACGACUGAGUUCUUCUUCGAUGUAACUUCAGAUUUUU